rnacentral:rRNA from 1 species
AACGAACGCUGGCGGCAGGCCUAACACAUGCAAGUCGAGCGCUCACCUUCGGGUGGGAGCGGCGCACGGGUGAGUAACACGUGGGAACCUACCUUGAAGUACGGAAUAACUGAGGGAAACUUCAGCUAAUACCGUAUACGCCCUACGGGGGAAAGAUUUAUCGCUUCAAGACGGGCCCGCGUUGGAUUAGCUAGUUGGUGAGGUAACGGCUCACCAAGGCAACGAUCCAUAGCCGAUUUGAGAGAAUGAUCAGCCACACUGGGACUGAGACACGGCCCAGACUCCUACGGGAGGCAGCAGUGGGGAAUAUUGGACAAUGGGCGCAAGCCUGAUCCAGCCAUGCCGCGUGAGUGAUGAAGGCCUUCGGGUCGUAAAGCUCUUUCAGAUGGGACGAUGAUGACGGUACCAUCAGAAGAAGCCCCGGCUAACUUCGUGCCAGCCGCCGCCGUAACAC